UACGGAGGGGGCUAGCGUUGUUCGGAAUUACUGGGCGUAAAGCGCACGUAGGCGGCUUUUCAAGUGACGGGUGAAAUCCCUCGGCUUAACCGAGGAACUGCCUGUCAGACUGGAAGGCUUGAGACCGGGAGAGGUGAGUGGAAUUCCCAGUGUAGCGGUGAAAUGCGUAGAUAUUGGGAGGAACACCAGUGGCGAAGGCGGCUCACUGGACCGGAACUGACGCUGAGGCGCGAAAGCGUGGGGAGCAAACAGG
rnacentral:rRNA from 1 species